rnacentral:misc_RNA from 1 species
GGCUAAGCGCCGUUGUUUCUGGCACACUUAUUCAAAAUUUAAAGGGCUGAUUGAAGCAUCGGAAUACUUUUGGCCUCAUAAUUAUAGAAUCCAAACGUAAAACGGCACAACCAUCUGAUCGUAUGGACAUAGAAGGUGAAGAUGCUUUCCCGUCAAACGUUGGACCUCAGAAGGAUGUUCAACAGAUAAAAUUGGGUCAAUAUACCAGAGAUUUUUCGUGGCUUGGAUGCCCUUGGACUUGUAAGCGAAAGCGCAGACACUAUCCAUCAU